GGCAGUAUGGUAGAGUGGUUAAGAUCAUGAACUCUGAAGUCAGAGAUACUUGAAUUUGAAUGCUGGUUCUGUCA
rnacentral:tRNA from 1 species